rnacentral:lncRNA from 1 species
AAUUCAGGUUGUUUGCAUUUAAAAAAUCGAGAGACUGUUGUUUUCAGAGGUCUGUGUAAACAGAGGGGGGUUCUCCGUCCAGUCCACUCUUGCACGUAGGAGGGAUGUUUUGACACUUAUGUUAUCAUAGGGUCACCGAUAUGCUCUUUUUCAAUCCUUUGGCUAUCGGUUUGUUUGUCUCCCUGGAACUGGUUAAACAUUUUAUCUGCGGCCUAUCAAAUAUCCACACAUACAUAU